rnacentral:SRP_RNA from 2 species
GCCAGGUGUGGUGGCGCACACCUGUAAUCCCAGCUACUCGGGAGGCUGAGGCAGGAGAAUCACUUGAACCCAGGAGAUGUAGGCUGCAGUGAGCCGAGAUUGUGGCACUGCACUCCAGCCUGGGCAACAGAGUGAGACUCUGUCAA